GUAGGCUGCAACUCGCCUACAUGAAGUCGGAAUCGCUAGUAAUCGCGGAUCAGCAUGCCGCGGUGAAUACGUUCCCGGGCCUUGUACACACCGCCCGUCACACCAUGAGAGUUUGUAACACCCAAAGCCGGUGGGGUAACCUUUUGGAGCCAGCCGUCUAAGGUGGGACAGAUGAUUGGGGUGAAGUCGUAACAAGGUACC
rnacentral:rRNA from 1 species